CCAGCGUGCACGCCUUGGGGAGCGGCCGAAGGACCCGCGUGCUUGCCGCCUGCCCCGCUUGAAUCAGGGUGCUCCACCCUGGCUGCACUUCGGGGACCCCGGGGCUUCUCAGGGGGUCCCAGGCCCCUGCAGGGUCCCCCCAGUGAGUCCCAAGUGCUCCUGGGGCAGCCCCGGGAGGUUUGCAACUGGGAGACGCGCAGGGAGGACGCCCCGCAAGACCGAGGGGGGAGGGAGCCGGGACAGGGCCGAGGAGGAGGGGCCUGGCACAGAGGAGCCACAGCAUCUCAUCCUGGGUGUCAACUUCCACGCCUUCAGCUGCCCGCUCUGCAGCGCGGGCCAAGCGGCCUUGCAAACCAGCCCCAGCACCCGCGUGCAAACCAGCCCCAGUGCCCGUGUGCAAACCAGCCCAGAGCCCCGCGUGCAAACCAGCUCCAGCGCCCGCGUGCAAACCAGCCCCAGCACCCGCGUGCAAAGCACCACGCGGGGUUCCCGCCCCUCCCCCACGACCCGUCUCUGUGCUGCACACCUCUGCCCCCCGCCUGCCGCUCAGGGAGGCCCUGGCGUGGCCUCGGCCGCCACGCUCUCUUGCACAUCCUCGCCGCUCUGCUGGGGGCAUCGCCAGACCCAGCGCCUCAAGCCUGUGGAGCGCAGCCAGCAUCUCGCGCCCCUCUGUCUACUCCCAGCCCCGCGUCUUGCAUUCCCCGUCUCACUCAGAGUCGAAUCCAAAGUCCUCCCAGUGAGCACGGCCAUCCUCCCCGACAGCAGGCACCUCUGACCGCACGCCCCUCACCCCUGCGCUCCAGCCUUGCUGGUGUCCCGGCCCCGGACCUUCUGCUCCUUCUGUCCUCCAAAGCCCAGCUGUCUUUAUUCGAGUGUCUGCUUGACUGUCGCACCCCCAGCCACCUGCCCCAGGACUCUGCCCCGUCCCCCCGGCCCUCCCCCCCGGUCACUGUGCCGACAGCCCUUCCGCGGGUCCAGCACAAACCUCGCGUGCUGUGGAUUUGGUGGGGGAGGGGCCUUGGCCUGUCUGCUUGCAGCUGCACACCUGGGCCCAGCACCCCGUCAACACGCCGAACACACGGAUGA
rnacentral:lncRNA from 1 species